rnacentral:rRNA from 1 species
UUGGGUUUAAAGGGUCCGUAGGUGGAUAAUUAAGUCAGAGGUGAAAUCUUGCAGUACAACUGUAAAAUUGCCUUUGAUACUGGUUAUCUUGAGUUAUUAUGAAGUAGUUAGAAUAUGUAGUGUAGCGGUGAAAUGCAUAGAUAUUACAUAGAAUACCAAUUGCGAAGGCAGAUUACUAAUAAUCAACUGACACUGAUGGACGAAAGCGUGGGUAGCGAACAGGAUUAGAUACCCUGGUAGUCCACGCCGUAAACGAUGGUUACUAGCUGUUUGGACCUUGUGUCUGAGUGGCUAAGCGAAAGUGAUAAGUAACCCACCUGGGGAGUACGUUCGCAAGAAUGAAACUCAAAGGAAUUGACGGGGGCCCGCACAAGCGGUGGAGCAUGUGGUUUAAUUCUAUGAUACGCGAGGAACCUUACCAGGGCUUAAAUGUAAGUUGCAUUAGUUAGAGAUAGCUAUUUCUUCGGACCACUUACAAGGUGCUGCAUGGUUGUCGUCAGCUCGUGCCGUGAGGUGUCAGGUUAAGUCCUAUAACGAGCGCAACCCCUGUUGUUAGUUGCCAGCGAGUCAUGUCGGGAACUCUUACAAGACUGCCAGUGCACACUGUGAGGAAGGUGGGGGAUGACGUCAAAUCAUCACGGCCCUUACGUCCUGGGCUACACACGUGCUAC